CCCAUUUCUUAGGUUUCGAAGAAGAAGGAACUUCAGAAAGAGAACGGGUGCUGCGGUAAUCCACCAAAGAAUCCGCUGCAGCCAUCGCACUUGGGAGGUCCUUCACAGCCUGCCUCCUAAGCUCAUUCUGCGCCCAUGCUUGCAUUCCCGAAAUAAAAUUAUGCAAUUUAUCAUCCUCCGACAUGUUUUGAACGUCCAACAUUAAGGAAGAGAAUUCCUUAAUAUAAUCCCGCAUAGAUCCCGUUUGUCUCAAGCGUUUCAGAUGGUC
rnacentral:lncRNA from 1 species